GACGAACGCUGGCGGCGUGCCUAAUACAUGCAAGUCGAACGCAGUGGGGACGGGUGAGUAACACGUGGGUAACCUCCCAUCAGAGGGGAUAACACUUGGAAACAGGUGCUAAACCGAUACUGAUGGAUGGACCCGCGGUGCAUUAGCUAGUUGGUGAGGUAACGGCUCACCAAGGCCACGAUGCAUAGACGACCGGAGAGGGGGAUCGGCGACACUGAGACGGAGACACGGCCCAGAAUCCUACGGGAGGCAGCAGGAGGGAAUAUUCGGGAAAGGACGAAAAUGUGACCGGGCAACGCCGCGGUAGUGAAGAAGGUUUGCGGAUCGUAAAACUCUGUUGUUAGAAAAGAGGUAUCUAACCAGAAAGCCACGGCUAACUCCGUGCCAGCAGCCGCGGUAAUAC
rnacentral:rRNA from 1 species